rnacentral:rRNA from 1 species
CGGGCUUGAACUGCGCAGGACAGGCGGAGAGAUCCGCUCUUCUUCGGACCUGCGUGGAGGUGCUGCAUGGUUGUCGUCAGCUCGUGCCGUGAGGUGUCGGCUUAAGUGCCAUAACGAGCGCAACCCUUGUCCAUAGUUGCCAUCGGGUCGUGCCGGGCACUCUAUGGAGACUGCCAUCGCAAGAUGCGAGGAAGGUGGGGAUGACGUCAAAUCAGCACGGCCCUUACGUCCGGGGCUACACACGUGUUACAAUGGGGGGAACAGAAGGCGGCUUGCCGGCGACGGUUGGCGAAUCCCCAAACCCCCUCUCAGUUCGGACUGGAGUCUGCAACCCGACUCCACGAAGCUGGAUUCGCUAGUAAUCGCGCAUCAGCCAUGGCGCGGUGAAUACGUUCCCGGGCC